rnacentral:rRNA from 1 species
UACGUAGGGGGCAAGCGUUAUCCAGAUUUACUGGGCGUAAAGCGCGUGUAGGCGGCUGGUUAGGCGUGAUGUGAAAUCUUCCGGCUCAACCGGAAAACUGCAUUGCGAACCGGCCUGGCUAGAGUGCAGGAGAGGGAAGCGGAAUUCCAGGUGUAGCGGUGAAAUGCGUAGAUAUCAGGAGGAACACCUGUGGCGAAAGCGGCGCACUGGACCACAACUGACGCUGAGGCGCGAAAGCUAGGGGAGCAAACAGG